ACUCCUACGGGAGGCAGCAGUGGGGAAUUUUGGACAAUGGGCGCAAGCCUGAUCCAGCAAUGCCGCGUGAGUGAAGAAGGCCUUCGGGUUGUAAAGCUCUUUCAGUCGAGAAGAAAAGGCUGCAGUGAAUAACUGUAGUUUAUGACGGUAUCGACAGAAGAAGCACCGGCUAACUACGUGCCAGCAGCCGCGGUAAUACGUAGGGUGCGAGCGUUAAUCGGAAUUACUGGGCGUAAAGCGUGCGCAGGCGGUUCGUUAAGUCUGAUGUGAAAGCCCCGGGCUCAACCUGGGAAUGGCAUUGGAUACUGGCGGGCUUGAGUGUGGCAGAGGGGGGUGGAAUUCCGCGUGUAGCAGUGAAAUGCGUAGAGAUGCGGAGGAACACCGAUGGCGAAGGCAGCCCCCUGGGCUGACACUGACGCUCAGGCACGAAAGCGUGGGGAGCAAACAGGAUUAGAUACCCUGGUAGUC
rnacentral:rRNA from 1 species